UCUCAGCAUGGGAGCACGGAACAGAGUUGAGCCUGUCCUCAAUCCUGACAGGAGGGUGAGGAAACAAACAGAAGAGGUGAUAAGCAUCAUCCUCCAGGAAUAACCAGAGAGAUGGUAGGACACUGGAAACUUAAUUUCUUCAGGAUGCUUAUGACAAUGCCCACGUUCUUCCAGAUGUCGUUGUUUCCAGGGGUGGAGAACUGAUACCAUGUUAAAUAGCACACAUGCUCAGCUGUGGUGACUGGAGAGAAAAGUCUUAAUGAUUAUGAUCACUUGCUGCUCUUCCAGAGGACCCGGGUUUGGUUUCCAGCAUUCCCAUGGCAGCUCACAAGUGUAACUCCAGUUCCAGAGGACCAAACAUCUUCUUUUGGUCUCCUCAGGUACUACAUGAAUGUCAGGCACUUACAUAUGUGUAGGCAAAAUACUAACACACGUGAA